rnacentral:rRNA from 1 species
UUGGAGGGCAAGUCUGGUGCCAGCAGCCGCGGUAAUUCCAGCUCCAAUAGCGUAUAUUAAAGUUGUUGCAGUUAAAAAGCUCGUAGUUGAAUUUUGGGUCUGGCCGGGCGGUCCGCCCUCUGGGUGAGCACUGUUCCGACGUCGGGCCUAUCCUUCUGGUGAGUCGGCAUGUCCUUUAUUGGGUGUGUCGGGGAACCAGGACCAUUACCUUGAAAAAAUUAGAGUGUUCAAAGCAGGCGUAUGCUCGGAUACAUUAGCAUGGAAUAAUGAAAUAGGACGCGUGGUGCUAUUUUGUUGGUUUCUAGAACCGCCGUAAUGAUUAAUAGGGAUAGUUGGGGGCAUUAGUAUUCAAUUGUCAGAGGUGAAAUUCUUGGAUUUAUUGAAGACUAACUUCUGCGAAAGCAUUUGCCAAGGAUGUUUUCAUUAAUCAAGAACGAAAGUUAGGGGAUCGAAGACGAUCAGAUACCGUCGUAGUCUUAACCAUAAACUAUGCCGACUAGGAAUCGGGCGAUGUUAUUCUCAUGACUCGUUCGGCGCC